rnacentral:lncRNA from 1 species
GGGAGAGAGGGAGGGAAGAGAGGCCAAACCAAACCCCAGAGCUCCCACAGGAUUUCUGGGGCUGCACAGCUGCUGGGAUGCCACAGGAUGCCCCUCCAGGGAGCUAAACCAAAGAAUCCAGAACUUUCUUCUUUCAAAGAAAAUUAAGGGACUCUGCAGGGCACAGGAUCCCGCAGAUUCCCAGCCACAUCCUUGGGAACAUGGUCCACACCAACAUACUGAGGUCCAAAUUCUCAACUCCCAGUUGGCUCCAAACCCCACAGCUUCUGCUUCAGACCUGCAGAUUUGCUUAUGCAUUGGGAAGGUCCUCUAAUUUUCCCAACUGUAUGAAGAGCUUGAGGAGAGAGACAGCACCUUCCUUGGGCAUCCAGAAGAUGAAGCACAAGCCACAGGAAAGCCUCUGUGGUGCCCAAGUGGAAACUCCAUCAGAUCCCUGCAUUUGGGAGCACUCAAGCUGCAACAACUAAGAGAUAAUCUCAGCUCAAGCCCAGCCACUGCUGCCUGGAUAGCUGGACCCAAAUGCAUCUCACAUUCCCUGCUGGCAAUUCCUCUGCUUCUGAGACCCCCCAGGCUGGGACGCUGCGUCCCUGCCGGUGUCUCCUGGCAGGGGGGAUGUGCCGGGGUGUCCAGGCUGGAGCUGUUCCCUCUGGCAGGGAGCUGCUGGCCAAGCUCAGCUGGAAUAACCUUGACACACACGCUGGGCUCCUGUCCCAGGGGUGACGCACGGCCGGGGAUGAGGCCGAGCCCCUCUCCAAGAGGAGACAUCAGCCCGAGCCAAGAGGGAGCUGCUGGGAACCUGACCUCAGCCACCAAAAACAAACAAAAAAAAAAAAACACCAAACAAAAAAAAAAAAAGAAACACCAAAAAAAAGGAGAUUACACAGCUGCUGAACAGCGUGAAACUCCUGGAAGAGGUAAGGAAGAUUGGUCCAGAACAUCCAGUGUAUCCUGGGCUGAGUGGGCAGCAGGGGAAGGGGGGGAUUCUGCCCCUCUGCCCCUCUCAGGUGAGACCCUACCUGCAGAGCUGCUUCCCGAUCUGGGAUCCAACAGCAGAAGGAUGUGGAGCUGCCGGACAGAGCCCAGAGGAAGCCACAGAGAUGCUCCAAGGGCUGCAGCCCCUC